GGCUUCAUAGCUCAAUUGGAUAGAGCAUCUGACUACGGAUCAGAAGGUUGGGGGUUCGACUCCCUCUGAAGUCA
rnacentral:tRNA from 1 species